GCAUUAAAUGCAUUGCUAAUGAUCUGAAAUUGUGAAGUAAAUGCAUUGGUUAUGAUCUAAAAUUGUGAAUUAAAUGCAUUGGUGUUGAACUGAAAUUGUGAAUAAAUGUAUAUGUGAUGACAACCAUACUUUGAUGAUUAAACAAUCUUUAAUCACAUAUUUUGUGAUGGAUUCAAUUGUCUUGGUUUCAAGAGUGUCUACUUGCAUGUUCUUGCUAUUCUUCUUUGCUGGUACUUGCAUUGUGAAAUGAACAAUGCCAUUUUUCCACCAAGCAAUAUUUUUCCAUUAUCUACAAUUAAUGGUCUUAAGACAACAUACAUGAACAUAAUUUUUUAGAUGAAUUUCUUGCUUUACAUGUCCUAUGCAUUCAUACUUUACAUGUCCUAUGUGGCUCGGGCUCUUCGGGUGCUAAGUAGAAUUUGUGUGAACAUCGAGUAAUAUAAAAUUAUUUCUCAUCGAUAUGCAUUAUUUUGUACAUAUUCAUAAACUUGAUUUUGUAGACAAUCCUGUUCAAUUCCAAGGAUUUGAGAGAGAAUCUCAACCUUAACAACUUGUUUGGAGCUUAUAAUUCAAGUUUUAUGGUAGAUGACAGAUGUGUUUGCACCCAUCUUCCUACGGUGCUUUUACUCUAUCUUAAUCCACUUGCUGAUUUCCUAAUCGUGCUUCUAUUCGUAUAUUUUGGAUUUGAAAGUAAAGAGGUGAACUAUCAUUUCCUUGUGUUGUUAAUCUUACCACUAACAAGAUGAAUGACAUCCUCAUUUGCUUGUUGUUUCUUCGCAAUUGCCCACAAUUGAGUAAUGCUCGACCGAGAGAUGGAGAAUUUCAGUUGGGUUUUCAAAACAGCUUGCCUCGAUGUUGAUUUCUAUCGAUGCAACCUUCAAGGAUGAAUUGGACGCAUUGAUUUCAUUUCUCAGUCAAAAGAUCUCUUCUCAUCAUUUUUGUUCACUCUUGUCUUGUGGUUGCACCAGAUCAAAUUUUGUACUUAUUUAUAGAGCUUUUCUUUUCUGUUGUUAUUUUUAGCUUUGUAGUCUUUGGUGGGAACUUGAAAUAUUUUGCCUUAAAAAUGUAGAGGCAAAAUUGAAUUCUAUCGUUUGUUGGAUUGUGGAACUAGAACUUUGGUUUUGAUAUGUGAAAUGCAC
rnacentral:lncRNA from 1 species